rnacentral:rRNA from 1 species
CAACGNGACCCCAGGUCAGGCGGGGCUACCCGCUGAGUUUAAGCAUAUCAAUAAGCG